rnacentral:piRNA from 1 species
UAUGAGUAUUUUGGCUCCGGUUAUUGC